GAUGAACGCUGGCGGCGUGCCUAAUACAUGCAAGUAGAACGCUGAAGGAAGGAGCUUGCUCUUUCCGGAUGAGUUGCGCACGGGUGAGUAACGCGUAGGUAACCUGCCUGGUAGCGGGGGAUAACUAUUGGAAACGAUAGCUAAUACCGCAUAACAGUAGAUGUUGCAUGACAACUAUUUGAAAGGGGCAAUUGCUCCACUACCAGAUGGACCUGCGUUGUAUUAGAUAGUUGGUGAGGUAACGGCUCACCAAGGCGACGAUACAUAGCCGACCUGAGAGGGGGAUAGGCCACACUGGGACUGAGACAAGGCCCAGACUCCUACGGGAGGCAGCAGUAGGGAAUCGUCGGCAAUGGACGGAAGUCUGACCGAGCAAGGCAGCGUGAGUGAAGAAGGUGUUCGGAUCGUAAAGCUCUGUUGUAAGAGAAGAACGAGUGUGAGAGGGGAAAGUUCACACUGUGACGGUAUCGUACCAGAAAGGGACGGCUAACUACGU
rnacentral:rRNA from 1 species